AUACGUAGGGGGCGAGCGUUGUCCGGAAUUACUGGGCGUAAAGGGUGCGUAGGCGGCCAGAUAAGUCAGAUGUGAAAUACCACGGCUUAACCGUGGGGGUGCAUUUGAAACUGUUUGGCUUGAGUGCAGGAGAGGAAAGCGGAAUUCCUAGUGUAGCGGUGAAAUGCGUAGAGAUUAGGAGGAACACCAGUGGCGAAGGCGGCUUUCUGGACUGUAACUGACGCUGAGGCACGAAAGCGUGGGUAGCGAACAGGAUUAGAUACCCUGGUAGUCCACGCCGUAAACGAUGGAUACUAGGUGUAGGGGGUAUCGACCCCCUCUGUGCCGGAGUUAACGCAAUAAGUAUCCCGCCUGGGGAGUACGGGCGCAAGCAUGAA
rnacentral:rRNA from 1 species